GAUGAACGCUGGCGGCGUGCUUAACACAUGCAAGUCGAACGAAGCACUUUAUUUGAUUUCCCUCGGGACUGAUUAUUUUGUGACUGAGUGGCGGACGGGUGAGUAACGCGUGGGUAACCUGCCUUGUACAGGGGGAUAACAGUUGGAAACGGCUGCUAAUACCGCAUAAGCGCACGACAUCGCAUGAUGCAGUGUGAAAAACUCCGGUGGUAUAAGAUGGACCCGCGUUGGAUUAGCUAGUUGGUGAGGUAACGGCCCACCAAGGCGACGAUCCAUAGCCGACCUGAGAGGGUGACCGGCCACAUUGGGACUGAGACACGGCCCAAACUCCUACGGGAGGCAGCAGUGGGGAAUAUUGCACAAUGGGCGAAAGCCUGAUGCAGCGACGCCGCGUGAGCGAAGAAGUAUUUCGGUAUGUAAAGCUCUAUCAGCAGGGAAGAUAAUGACGGUAC
rnacentral:rRNA from 1 species